GAUGAACGCUGGCGGCGUGCCUAAUACAUGCAAGUCGAGCGAACAGAUGAUGAGCUUGCUCCUCUGACGUUAGCGGCGGACGGGCGAGUAACACGUGGAUAACCUACCUAUAAUACUGGUAUAACUUCGGGAAACCGGAUCUAAUACCGUAUAAUAUAUUGAACCGCAUGGUUCAAUAGUGAAAGACGGUUUUGCUGUCACUUAUAGAUGGAUCCGCGCCGCAUUAGCUAGUUGGUAAGGUAACGGCUUACCAAGGCAACGAUGCGUAGCCGACCUGAGAGGGUGAUCGGCCACACUGGAACUGAGACACGGUCAAGACUCCUACGGGAGGCAGCAGUAGGGAAUCUUCCGCAAUGGGCGAAAGCUUGACGGAGCAACGCCGAGUGAGUGAUGAAGGUCUUCGGAUCGUAAAAAUCUGUUAUUAGGGAAGAACAAAUGUGUAAGUAACUAUGCACGUAUUGACGGUACCUAAUCAGAAAGCCACGGCUAACUACGUG
rnacentral:rRNA from 1 species